ACACAGCCCAUCGUACUCUCUCUCUCGCUUUUUCUCUUGGAAACCUUAAUUUCCAGUCUUCUAAUUGGUUCCUUCUGUGGUGCUUUUGAUUUGAUACGGGCGGGUGUUGGUGAUCUUGUUGCAGAAUCUAAUUUUCAGGCUCCUCCAAAGCAAAGCUCGCAUCUAAAUGUGGCUUUACGAGCAGAAGGAUUUGAGGAUUGAGGGGCGCAUCAUUGGUUUUGAUGAAUACAUGAAUUUGGUCUAGGAUGAAGCUGAAGAACUCAAUGUCAACCGGAAAAAAAAGAAAAGCCAGAGAACCAUUGG